UGGCUCAGAGGUUAAAGUGUCUGCCUGCAAUGCAGGAGUCCUGGGUUCGAUCCCUG
rnacentral:tRNA from 1 species